UACGUAGGUGGCAAGCGUUAUCCGGAAUUAUUGGGCGUAAAGAGCGCGCAGGUGGUUGAUUAAGUCUGAUGUGAAAGCCCACGGCUCAACCGUGGAGGGUCAUUGGAAACUGGUCGACUUGAGUGCAGAAGAGGGAAGUGGAAUUCCAUGUGUAGCGGUGAAAUGCGUAGAGAUCGGGAGGAACUCCAGUGGCGAAGGCGACUUACUGGGCCGUAACUGACGCUGAUGCGCGAAAGCGUGGGGAGCGAACAGGAUUAGAUA
rnacentral:rRNA from 1 species